UACGUAGGGUGCGAGCGUUGUCCGGAAUUAUUGGGCGUAAAGGGCUCGUAGGCGGUCUGUUGCGUCAGGAGUGAAAACUCGGGGCUUAACCCCGAGCCUGCUUCUGAUACGGGCAGACUAGAGGUAUGCAGGGGAGAACGGAAUUCCUGGUGUAGCGGUGAAAUGCGCAGAUAUCAGGAGGAACACCGGUGGCGAAGGCGGUUCUCUGGGCAUUACCUGACACUGAGGAGCGAAAGCGUGGGGAGCGAACAGG
rnacentral:rRNA from 1 species